GAUGAACGCUGGCGGCGUGCCUAAUACAUGCAAGUCGAGCGGACGGACGAGAAGCUUGCUUCUCUGAUGUUAGCGGCGGACGGGUGAGUAACACGUGGAUAACCUACCUAUAAGACUGGGAUAACUUCGGGAAACCGGAGCUAAUACCGGAUAAUAUUUUGCACCGCAUGGUUCAAAAGUGAAAGACGGUCUUGCUGUCACUUGUAGAUGGAUCCGCGCUGCAUUAGCUAGUUGGUAGGGUAACGGCUUACCAAGGCAACGAUGCAUAGCCGACCUGAGAGGGUGGUCGGCCACAUUGGAACGGAGACACGGUCCAGACUCCUACGGGAGGAAGCAGUAGGGAACCUUCCGCAAUGGGCGAAAGCCUGACGGAGCAACGCCGCGUGAGUGAUGAAGGUCUUCGGAUCGUAAAACUCGGUUAUUAGGGAAGAACAUAUGUGUAAGUAACUGUGCACAUCUUGACGGUACCUAAUCAGAAAGCCACGGCUAACUACGUG
rnacentral:rRNA from 1 species